rnacentral:lncRNA from 1 species
AGUGACGCCAUCAGCCGUCGCCUGAGCCGUGGCGCGCGGGUGGCCGAAAGGCGAAAGUGAGAUUUCAAGGGCCGGGUCUGGGGCCCCGCGGGCGCGCAGUGCUGCGGCGUGUGGGGAGUACGGGGAGGCUGGAGAGGAGCCGGCCCCGGGCAGUGUGAGGUGCGGAAGCGCGGUCCAGACACUUUGCUGACGGGAGGCCGGUCCGCCAGAUCCGGGAGGUGGGGCCUCGUUCUGGACUGCUGUACGUAGUUUUAUUCCUGGUCAUUUUUUUCCACCGCCAAAUCGAGAGAUAGAGCUUUGGAUCAUGAGAGAUGGCGUCGUGUUGGGAAAAGAGCCUUCUUUACCUGAGUUUAAGCUCGGCUCAUAGACAUCCUCUACCUGAGUUUACACGUGUGUAAUAUGAAGGCAGUCGAUUAGGAGAUGUCUAAGAUCAUUACUUACACCUCAAGUUUCCAAGGGGAGGAAGACACGGGAAGGAUGCGUGGUCUGUGCCAGACUUUGUAGACGAUUCACUGAAUGACCCUGAUUUAGCUCUUCCGGCCCUCUUCGAUUCAGCUUGGAAGCAAGCAUAAAUAGUGAUUGUUGUCUGUAUACUUCUCUCGGAAGGAAUGCUGUUAUGGGAGUUGUGGGUUCAUUUUUAGGUGUCUGAAGAAGUUUCAGGACUUUUGAAAUGAUAGUGGAGCCCAUUGAACUCAGAAUUAUCCCUUUCUGGUCUAGUAGGAGUAUAGUGGCAUACGGAAAAUGAAGCAAACAUCAAAGACAGAUGUACUGGCACAAGAUUAAAAGUAUGUCUCAGCUGACAUAGUUGCCAUUUUAAGACUGCUUAGUUUAGCUGAAUAUGCCUGGAUUUUUUUUUUUUUUAGCAUUUUUUUUCUUUUUAGCAUUGGCAUACCAUAUGAAAUGUGGGCAGUUGCCAGUACUCUACAGAGUACCAAGGCAGAAUUGGCAAUGACUAAAUCAAUUCAUUCAAACAAAAAUUCAUCAUGUGCCUACUGUGCGCAUAAUUUGUGGAAUCAAAGUCUCUUGUUUCCAGGGGCUUUACAGUGUAAUAAGUGCUAUAGUAAAUAUAUAUACGGAGUGGUAACCAUCUGCCUAUUCCUCUCCUACAGUCGUUGCUGAGUUCCAGUGUAGAACAGAGCACUGCAUUGUGUAUCUCACCACUACUGAUUUAGAUUUUAUAAUUUCAGCUGCAUCCCUCCCUCCUACUUUGUAUAUUCUUCAGCAUCUUUUUCUCCCUUUCCACUUGAAUACUUUUCGCAAUCUUUAAAUCCCAGCCCAUUUUAUUAUAUGACUUUUAACUUAGACUUCACAAUUUUCCAAGUGCUAGAAAUUUCCUGAGAUUGCCUUUUCUCCAGUAUCAACGAAUGAGAGACUCCCUGUUCAUAUAUGAGAUAAACUCUUCAUACAUAUUCUAGUUCCAAUACCCCUCUUUCUCAUGCAUUUAUUAUCUUUUCUGUUGUCAACCUUCUACAAAUUCUGGUUCCUUAGCUAAUUCUUCUGUAGCUUUCAAUUAUUUCCUUCACAAGCAAACUUUCUUUCUUUAAAAAGUAUUCUAUACUCAGGAGGCUGAAGCAGGAGAAUCGCUUGAACCUGCGAGGCGGAGUUUGCAGUGAGCUGAGAUCCUGCUACUGCACUCUAGCUUGGGCGACAGAGCGAGACUCCAUCUCAAAAAAAAAGUGUCUACAAUCAGUGUCUUUUUUGUUUUCUGAAAUUGACUUGUCAGCCCUCUGCAGUCUAGUCUCUGUGUCUAUCGUGCUGUGCUACCAAAAAUGCUCUCUUUAAAGUAAUCUCAUUGUUUGGAAGAAAAUGAGUUUUUUGUUCUUUAAUAUAAUAGUGAAAUGAUGAUCCUGUUUCACUAGUAGGAUAAGGUUCAAAACUAUUAAAAUGGACAAGGCAUGUAAAGUCACUUUCUUUUAUUUUUAUCUUUUUUUCCCCCCGUUAGAACCUCUGGCAGGGACUGACUAGCCCAUGAAACUUAUUUCUUCUUCCCGGGCACACAGCUAAACUAAAUUUCACAGCUUUCCUUGUAGUUGGUUAUAGUCAUGUGAUGAACUUCUUUUUUUGAGACAGAGUUUAGCUCUUGUUGCUCAGGCUGGAAUGCAAUGGCACAAUCUCAGCUCACCGCAACCUCCGCCUCCCGUGUUCAAGCGAUUCUCCUGCCUCAGCCUCCCAAGUAGCUGGGAUUACAGGCAUGUGCCAUCACACCCGGCUAAUUUUGUAUUUUUAGUAGAGACACGGUUUCUCCAUGUUGGUCAGGCUGGUCUCGAACUCCCGACCUCAGGUGAUUCCCCCACCUCGGCUUUCAAAGUGCUGGGAUUACGGGCGUGAGCCACCGAGCCUGGCCGUGAUUAACUUCUAGCCAAUUAAAUAUGAAUGGAAAUGAUGUGCUCAUUUUUAGGGUUAAUGAAGUCCUCCUAUUCUCCCUUACUCUUUCUUCGUCAACUUGAUGCCUUUGAGCAUGGUGACCUUCAAAACUAUGUAUUGGAGAUGCCAAAGCCAGAAAAGAGAAGAAUGAGUGGCUGAAACAGUACUUGGAAGACAGCCACCCCAAUUAGAAACACCCCUUUUUGCACUUACUGUAAGAGAAAAAAUUGAGAUUUGAGAAUUUAUAUGUAUAGGAGCUAGAAUGACCAUAGCUAGUCCAGAAAUUGGUACAAGAAGUGGAGUACUGCUAAAACAAUAACCUAAAAUAUGUUACAUCAGCUUAUUUAUGAUGCAGCAGGUGGUAGAGAAUGUGAUUUGGAGGCUAGAAAAAGGAGGCCCAUGUUUGCAGUGGCAAAGUAAUUAGUAAAACUGUCACCUGAAAUAAUUCAAAAUCAGAUCACCUAUCUGUUUAGAUUAGCUCCAGAGGAAAUGAUUGAAAAGAGCAAAAGUAAUACUGUGUUGAAUUUUACAUUUUACUUUUAGUAAGGUUUUACUAAAGAGAGAAACUCAGGAAAUACUUCACAGAAGUGAGAGUGUACAGGAAUAUUUCUCAGGAAGGGUUGGAAAAGUUGACUUUUAUAAGACUUCUAAUAAAAAAAAAAAAAAAACUAGAAGAGGUCUUGAGUAUAGUUACCCUUGAGAUUAAGUCCUGCAACAAAGAUCAGGAAAAGGGUUUGGUCUUUCCAUUCAAAGUCAUUAUUUUAGAUGGCUUCAAGAUAGCUACGAUAAAGGUCUAAAGGAACUGGCAUAGGAGCAAGGCAGCAAAGCAGUAAAUUAGGCUUGAUAAUUAUGUAAGAAAGAACUUUGGGUGUAGUUACCAGAAGCAAAUCAAUCAGAAGACUACAUUUUUAGAGGAAUUUUAUUAAUCAUACUAAAUCUGGCUCAAAUAUCAUUGUUCGGGUGUUAAAACAGAGGGUAACUGUCCAACCCCAAGCUUGCAUAAGUAGAAAAAUAGAGCAUAAAACCUUAACAGCUCCCCAGUACCCACACAGGAUGUGGCCAUGGAGAAUGAUGGACAAAAAAAGAACAUUUCAGAAGCUCGUAUAAGGAGCUGUACUAAAGACUGGACAGGGAGUUUCUCCUGAAGACUAGAAUUGGAGUUUCAUCAGAACUUUCUUCAGUUUCAAGGAGAUGGGCCGCAAAAUGUUUAUGCAGUAUUUCAUCAUUAUUAUACAUGAAUAGUAUUGCUCAGUAUCACAUUUUUUUUCUGAAUGAGAGAAUGUAUUAUAGUUAUCUGUCCCUGAGUUACCACUAUAUAUUGGGUUUGCAGGGAUGGGGGUGACAAUAAAGAUAAUUUGUCUUUUUAGUUCUUAGGUCACAUCUGUACCUAAUGAAGAGAACUGCACAUUUUCUGAAAAUCCUAGACUUUGAGCCUGUUCCAGUAACUGGUUAAAACUUUAGAUUGUCUCCUUUGGGACAGGGUAUGUUCUGUGUGUGGAAAGACAGGUAAAAUACAUGUUUAGUGAUCAGAAUAGUAGAUUCUUGCAAAUGCUAAAUUCUUCUGGCCACACAGCUAUAUUUCCAUGCCUCUCUUGCAAUUAGGUAUAUGGGUUAGGUGUGCUGAUUAGGUUCUAACCAGUGGAAUGUGAGAAGUGAUGCACUCCUAUUCCAGCUCUGGCCUAUGGAAACAUCACAUGAGCAAUCCAAUAUAUCCCACUCCCCAUCAACUUGAGGCAGAUGAGCAAAUUUGCACUGGAAACUAUGUGUUAAAGAUGGCAAAGCCGCAAGAUAGGACUCCUGGUUUCCUGAAUCUUCACUUGGAGGAUACUUGCUUCCCAAUUAGAGACACUUGUGCUAGAGUUUCCUGACUCUUCACUGGGAGGAUACUUGCUUGCCAAUUAGGGACACUUGUGCUACAGCUCAUACGCAUUCUUUUGUGUUAGGCCACUGAGAUUUCAGAGCGUGCCCUAAUAAAGACCUGUCCCUCUUUCUCCAGAUGCAAUCGUUCAUUACCUAAUUCUAAUUUUUAUACCACAGGAGUAGGCCCACAAAUCAGGCUAGCCAAAGUAUCCUAUCAUUCAGCCAUAGUGAUUAGUUCAGGAAUGGGCAGAUUAACAAAACUGAAGUUAAUCAGAGAUAGUCUUAUCAUUUGGGCUAGCACUAUCAAGAAAAAGACACCUGCUUCUGGAAUAAGCAAAAAAAAAAAAAAAAAAAAACACAAGCUACAUCUGGCCUUUGGUCAUCAUGUCGAGUGAACCUGCCUAAGAAUGAAAUCUUACAGGGAAACAGAGGCAGUCUCAAUGAUACUGCAGAAGGGGAAGAUAUCCCAUGAAUUGAGAAAUAUUUCCUGGGUUUCUACUCGAUUGAAAUUCCAAGAGGUAAGGGAUAGAUACUGCCAGGAAGACUUGGGAAUUCAAAAGAGGAGCUCUCUGAGACUAGAGUCACAUCCUGACACGGCUCUUCUCCAAUGUGCUGGAGUCCUCAGCAUCUGCUGGUCUUGAUUCACUGAUGGGGGCAACCAGUGUCCCCUUAAGUGUCCGGGCAGAAACAUACUGUACCUUGGUUUUAGAAAGUAGGUUGGCAGGCAUCUUUCCUCAUUCCCAUCAAGGAGUUGGUACCUUCCACAGUGUAAGUUAUUUUCUCUGUUCUAGAGCUACUACAAAGUGCUAGGGAAGGAAAAUCUCCUAAAGCAGUCUGUCAUCAUGAAGGCCAAAUUAUGUAGCAGAAGAGCUUGGAAAAAGAUUAAGACGGUGGUGGGGAGGACCUUUGUCCUGGUGGCUUGAAGCCAUAGGGAAAGAGGUUCACUAAAUGCCAACAAAUGCUAAAAAAUAAAAAAAUAGACAAAACAGCGAGCCAGUGGCUUGUGCUCUGCUUUCCACCUGAAAGUUUGCCCAACAUAAGCAAUUAUAAUCAAGUAGAAAUUGAAGCAUAUGUUUAAGCAGAGAGGACCAGGUAACAUUGAUAACCACUGUCCUCCCAGCCACUGCCUUAAUUAGGCUUUCAUGAGUUUUCACCCACAUUAUUGCAAUAGUCAAUCUCCCUGCCUCUGAUCCUAUUAUACUCUACUUUAUCCUCCACAUUGACACCUGAGUUACUUCUCUACCUUGUAAAAACAAUUUAUUUCUGAGUACAAAAACACUACAUGUUCAUUGUAAAAUACUAAGAAAAUACAAAAAAGCACACAUACCAGAACAUGCAAUUCUAUCAUCUAGAGAUAUCCACUGUUGACAUUUUAGUACAAACCUUUACACAGUUGUUUUCUCUGUGUAUUUUUAAAUGAGAAUGCCACUGUUGUAUUUAGCAUGCUUUUUAAAAUUUUUUAUUUAUUUUUAUUUUUCAAUCCACCAGUAAGAUAUCCCGGAGCAUGCUUUUUUUUUUUUUUAAACUUAGUAUAUGUGAGCAUUUUCUCAUGGAAUUAAAUGCCCUCUACAAUAUUAUAUAUAAUUAAUAUAUCAAUUUACUUAAGACAGGUGUUGCAAACUGGCAGCCUAUAGCCAAAUGUGAUAUAUGAACAUGCUAUAUACUUUGUCAUUACAGCAUUUCAGAGUUGUUUGACUUUUGAAUGCCUUUAUACAAUGCAUGCUGUCUUCAAUUCUCUACAGUUUCCAUAAAUUCCUAUUAUGCCCAGUCCUUAUUCACUCAUGUCACCUAUCUUUUUUUGUUGUUGUUACUGUUUCGGUGUGGGCUUUUAAGAAAUUUUUGACAUUUGAGUUGAAAACAGCAAUUUAGCCAGAAUAAGCAUGGAUGUUCAUUCACUUAGUAUUUGUUGCCUACCUGCUACAUACCAGGCACUGGGUUAGGUGAGAAAAUGGUUAGCAAAACAAACACGGUUCUUUCUAUCUUGAAGCUUAUGGUCUAGCAUGAGAGACACACAAAUGAAAUAACUGCUGCAAGGGAAACCUGAGCUAGAAACUUUUGUUUUGUUUUGGGGCUUCCCUGAGGAAGUAAUAUGUGAACAGAGAUCUAUAGUAGGAAAUAGGCCAAAAAGCAGAGAAGAAUCUUCCUAGCCAAAGGAAUGUAUAUGCAAAAGGCCUAAAAAAGGAGGUAUCAAACUGUGCCAAAAGAGCUGAAACACUGAAAGUGAGAAUGUUUGCAAGAUGAGGCUGGAGAAGUAAGUGGAAGACAGAUGAUUCAGGGCCUGUGGACCAUGCUAAGGGUUUUGAGAUACAUGUUGAUAAAGAAUCUACCCUAGUCUUCUUUUCCUUAGGGAAACAUCCUUCUCUUUUUAAUCACUCCUUAUAUGGCAUGAUUUCGAAAUCCCCUUCACCCUCUUACUACCCUUCUCUAGCAUUAAUAAUUUUCUUAGUCCACUGCUCUGGAACCAGAGCCCAGUAAAAAUUAGUUAAGCUGAAGGCUGGGGAUGGCAGUCUAGCACAAAUAGUAAUUAACUACUGGGCACAUUAGUAGAACAGAGCUGCUACCUAAAUAAAUCCAUUUAAAGUCAACUAAAUGUUAUUUGGGUAAUAUGUCCCUCAUGUUAAAUUUGCCCAAAUAUAUAUCUCACCUCUUAAAAUUCGUUUAGUUUGAAAUUAAAAUUAGUAUUGUUUUUCUGCAUGUACUCCUAGGUUGGGUAAAGAAGGGAACAAGGGAAUGGGGAAACGUAGAGAUUCCUGGAUAACAGAGAAAGACAGCUUGAGAAUAAAAGUAUGCAAAAGAUAAUCUACAACAAAAUAAUGCACUUAACUCUUGUUACUAAACAAAUAAGCUACCCACAUUUUAGUUUUCUGUUUUGUUUUAUGUUUGUCAGUUUAGCAAUUUUUGUCACUGUUUGGAAGACUUAGAGUGGUUAUUGCAUAGAACAACUCCUUACACAGAGAUUUGCAAGUUUCUGAAUUUUGUACUUUCAAAUUGAAAAUCAGGAGAAACAUUUUCAAGGUUCAUAUUCAGACCAAGUUAGUAUAUUAACAACUAAUAACAAUAUUAAAAGUUAGAACAAUUCCUUUCCUCUAUCUUUCUCAGGACAAAUCGAGUUUAUUAGAAAACUAGGGAGUGAUCUGGUGAAACUGGAAAGAAUCCAAGGAGUUCCAGGGAAAUCUUUCAUUCAUUCAUUUGUAGAUUAUUCCACAAAUGUUUAUUAAGUAUCUAUGGUAUUUAUACAGCACCUACAGUACUAUUUAGGGCACUGGGUAUAGCUUACAAACUGCUUAACUCUGAAUAUCUUUUGUGCAAGGAAUAAGUAGUAUAAUAGUCCCUUGAAAUACAGGAAUUCACCUAGAGAUCUUCUCAGAUCCUCAGAUGUGCACGUUUUAUAUCAUGUAACUUAAUCCAGAAAAUAAAGCAUAAGCAAACUGAUAUUUUUACACAGCAAUGAAUUUUGAAAGCAGGCAGAGCUUCUAGUCUCAUAUAAGGGGCUUAGAACUUGCCACUGCAUCCUAAUAACAAGUAAAAAGCUGAACAAACAAAAAUCAACAACUCUUCUUAACUUCAUCAGAAAUGAGGACACAGGGAAAACUGCUGCCCUCAAAAUUGGAGAGACAGAUAGGAAGAUACAGGAAAUCAUAACCAGAGCAGAAACCUCUGGGAACCAGUGCUGGGGUAGGAAAACCUGAACUGUAAUUGAUGAAAUGCUGAAGGCUCACUGUGGACAAGCCUGAGAGUCAAAAACUCCAGGGAAACCCAGUCAUAGAGGAGCCCU